AACAGAAUCGAGGCGUGAUCGCGUAAGGCUUUCUCGUCAACCACGUUGAAACUAUUUCAUACAUAUUCUUUGGCUUUUUACAUAAUCUAGCCACUAUUCUGCGUUAUAUCCAAGCAUAGUACAGUUUGACACAUUUGAUAGGACUACAUUGAUUAUCCUCCUCCUCCUCCUCCUCCUCCUCCUCCUCCUCCUCAUCCUCAUCCUCCUCCUCUCCCUCCCUCCCAGCUUCCUCCCUCCUCUCACUCCUCAUCUCGCUGUCUCGUGGAUGCGCUUCUCUUUUCUGGCGCGCUGGCUGGAACAGCCAUAGCUCUCUGUACACUUCUGUCUGACUGCCUUGUUUGGAGAAUGGCGCCUUCAUCAGAGACAGAGUUUACUGAAACUCAGCAAGAGGCCAACCGGCUCACAGACAGAGGAGGAUGAACAGCCAAUCAGACACAUGGAUAAAUCAUCAAGAUCCUCCACCCCGCGCUCACCCCUGCAUCCCCUCCUCUGCAUCGGCCGAGAUAUGGGGCAGCUUGUGAUGCCCAUGCAGCCCCCCCAGCCCCCCACACCACCACCACCCCAACCCACCCAACCGACCCCUGCCUCUCAACAAAAAUAUUGACGGUUAAUUUGGCUUUGAUAUAUUAUUGCAUUAAACACAUCACAUCCACUAAAGGGGAUAAGAACAUCCCAUAGCGUAGAUGCACUUGAAUGAAUGUGUCUUUACGUUCAACCUGUGGAGGCUGGGAGCGAGGCUUCAGAGGGAGAGGGAGAGACGCAGAGACGGAUGAGCUUCACACCGCAUGCUCAAUAUUUCUGCUUAUUUGUUUUUAAAUAGCUGGGAGUGCCUUGGGGAAGGUUUUAAAAGAGCAAGUUGACGUUUUUUUCUUCCCACACAUUUUUAAUCAAAGUGUUAGCAUUUACAUUUGAAUUUGCAUCGUGCAGUGGGAUGCUGGAUGCCAUAGGUGAGAUAUUAAAAAAA
rnacentral:lncRNA from 1 species